UUUUUCCAGGCAGUGCCAUUCCCUGGAGGAUCUGGGAUGGGAAUUUCAGUGGGAAUUUCGGGAAUUUCGGGAAUUUCAAUGGGAAUUUGGGGAAUUUUGGGAAUUUGGAUUUUGGGGAUUUGGGUUGGGAAUUUCGGGAAUUUCAAUGGGUAUUUUGGGAAUCUGGGAUUUGGGAAUUUUGGGAAUUCUGGGAUGUUUGGAGAGGAUUUUUGGGUGUUUGGGACUGAAAUUUUGGGAAUUUGUGGCUGGAAUUUUGGGAAUUUUGAUUUUGGGGAUUUACGAUCGGAAUUUUGGGAAUUUCAGUGGGAAUUUUGGGAAUUUCACAGGGAUUUUUUGGGAAUUUUAUCCCGAUUUUCCAGGCAGUGCCAUUCCCUGGAGGAUCUGGGAUGGGAAUUUCGGGAAUUUCAGUGGGAAUUUUGGGAAUUUUUCCAGGCAGUGCCAUUCCCUGGAGGAUCUGGGAUGGGAAUUUUGGGAAUUUCAAUGGGAAUUUUGGGAAUUUGGAUUUUGGGAAUUUCAAUGGGAAUUUUGGGAAUUUCAAUGGGAAUUUUGGAGAGGAUUUUUGGGUGUUUGGGACUGAAAUUUUGGGAAUUUGUGGCUGAAAUUUUGGGAAUUUGGGGUGGGAGUUUUGGGAAGUUUGACUUUGGGGAUUUAGGAUGGGAAUUUUGGGAAUUUCAAUGGGAAUUUCAGGAAUUUCAAUGGGAAUUUGGGGAAUUUUGGGAAUUUGGAUUUUGGGGAUUUGGGUUGGGAAUUUUGGGAAUUUCAGUGGGAAUUUCGGGAAUUUGUGAUGGAAAUUUCGGGAAUUUCAAUGGGAAUUUUGGGAAUUUCAAUGGGAAUUUUGGAGAGGAUUUUUCGGUGUUUGGGACUUAAAUUUUGGGAAUUUGUGGCUGGAAUUUUGGGAAUUUGGAUUUUGGGGAUUUAGGAUGGGAAUUUUGGGAUUUGUGAUAGGAAUUUUGGGAAUUUCUGACAGGAAUUUUGGGAAUCUUAGAUGGGAAUUUUGGGAAUUUCAAUGGGAAUUUUGGGAAUUUCAACGGGAAUUUCAGGAAUAUUAGAUGGGAAUUUUGGGAAUUUGGAUUUUGGGGAUUUAGGAUCAGAAUUUCGGGAAUUUCAGUGGGAAUUUUGGGAAUUUUCCAGGCAGUGCCAUUCCCUGGAGGAUCUGGGAUGGGAAUUUGGGAAUUUUGAUUGGAAUUUUGGGAAUUUCGGGAAUGUUUUCCAGGCAGUGCCAUUCCCUGGAGGAUCUGGGAUGGGAAUUUCAGGAUUUAGGAUCAGAAUUACAGGAAUUUCACUGGGAAUUUUGGGAAUUUGGGAUGGAAAUUUCAGGAAUUUCAAUGGCAAUUUCGGGAAUUUCAGUGGGAAUUUUGGGAAUUUGUGAUUGAAAUUUCAGGAAUUUCGAUGGGAAUUUUGGGAAUUUCAAUGGGAGUUUUGGGAAUUUUAACGGGAAGUUUGGAGAGGAUUUUUGGGUGUUUGGGACUGAAAUUUUGGGAAUUUGUGGCUGGAAUUUUGGGAAUUUUAGAUGGGAAUUUUGGGAAUCUUAAAUUUGGGAAUUUGGGAUCAAAAUUUUGGGAAUUUCAAUGGGAAUUUUGGGAAUUUCACUGGGAAUUUUGGGAAUUUGGGAUGGAAAUUUUGGGAAUUUCGAUGGGAAUUUUGGGUGUUUGGGACUGAAAUUUUCGGAAUUUGUGGCUGAAAUUUUGGGCAUUUCAAUGGAAAUUUCGGGAAUUUCAAUGGGAAUUUUGGGAAUUUGGGAUGGAAAUUUCGGAAAUUUCAUUGGGAAUUUCGGGAAUUUUGAUGGGAAUUUUGGGAAUGUUUCCAGGCAGUGCCAUUCCCUGGAGGAUCUGGGAUGGGAAUUUCGGGAAUUUCGGGAAUUUCGAUUGGAAUUUCGGGAAUUUUUCCAGGCAGUGCCAUUCCCUGGAGGAUCUGGGAUGGGAAUUUCAGGAUUUAGGAUCAGAAUUUCAGGAAUUUCAGUGGGAAUUUGGGGAAUUUUGGGAAUUUGGAUUUUGGGGAUUUGGGUUUGGAAUUUUGGGAAUUUCAAUGGGAAUUUUGGGAAUUUGGGAUGGAAAUUUCGGGAAUUUCAAUGGGAAUUUUGGGAAUUUCAAUGGGAAUUUUGGAGAGGAUUUUUUGGGUGUUUGGGACUUAAAUUUUGGGAAUUUUAGAUGGGAAUUUUGGGAAUUUCCAUGGGAAUUUUGGGAAUUUCAAUGGGAAUUUUGGGAAUUUCAAUGGGUAUUUUGGGAAUCUGGGAUUUGGGAAUUUUGGGAAUUCUGGGAUGUUUGGAGAGGAUUUUUGGGUGUUUGGGACUGAAAUUUUGGGAAUUUUAAAUGGGAAUUUCGGGAAUCUGGAAUUUGGGGAUUUGGGAUGGGAAUUUGGGAAUUUUGAUUGGAAUUUCGGGAAUUUUUCCAGGCAGUGCCAUUCCCUGGAGGAUCUGGGAUGGGAAUUUCAGGAAUUUCGGGAAUUUCAAUGGGAAUUUUAUCCCGAUUUUCCAGGCAGUGCCAUUCCCUGGAGGAUCUGGGAUGGGAAUUUCAGGAUUUAGGAUCAGAAUUUCGGGAAUUUCACAGGG
rnacentral:lncRNA from 1 species